ensembl:snoRNA LOC120102695 small nucleolar RNA SNORA17
CCUGCGCCUAGAGGCAUUGUAAGUGUGGCUGCUGUGUCACAGGUGCAUCAGUAUGUGGCAGAGAGGAGAGAGGUUGAGUCUAUGUUCCCUGUUCUGACCUAAGAACAUCCUUCAGAUGUUCCCU